AACGAACGCUGGCGGCAUGCCUAACACAUGCAAGUCGAACGAGACCUUCGGGUCUAGUGGCGCACGGGUGCGUAACGCGAGGGAACCUUCCCUUAGGUUCGGAAUAACUCUCCGAAAGGGGUGCUAAUACCGGACAAUGUCUUCGGACCAAUGAUUUAUCGCCUUUGGAUGGGCCCGCGUUGGAUUAGCUAGUUGGUAGGGUAAAAGCCUACCAAGGCGACGAUCCAUAGCUGGUCUGAGAGGAUGAUCAGCCACACUGGGACUGAGACACGGCCCAGACUCCUACGGGUGGCAGCAGUGGGGAAUAAUGGACAAUGGGCGAAUGCCUGAUCCAUCAGGGCCGCGUGAGUGUUGAAGUCGUUAGGGUUGUAAAGCUCUGUUACCCGGGAUGAUAAUGACAGUACCGGGAGAAUAAGCGCCGGCUAACUCCGUG
rnacentral:rRNA from 1 species